UACCGUAUGAGGUCACAUUGCGGGGCAUCUAAGUGUGACGAAAGGUUUUGGCGGACAUGGAUGGGGAUGCGUCCGAUUAGCUAGUUGGCGGGUAACGGCCCACCAAGGCGACGAUCGGUAGGGGUUCUGAGAGGAAGGUCCCCCACAUUGGAACUGAGACACGGGUCCAAACUCCUACGGGAGGCAGCAGUGAGGAAUAUUGGUCAAUGGACGUAAGUCUGAACCAGCCAAGUAGCGUGCAGGAUGACGGCCCUAUGGGUUGUAAACUGCUUUUAUGCGGGGAUAAAGUGUGGGACGUGUCCCAUAUUGCAGGUACUGCAUGAAUAAGGACCGGCUAAUUCCGUG
rnacentral:rRNA from 1 species